GAUGAACGCUGGCGGCGUGCCUAAUACAUGCAAGUCGAGCGAACAGACGAGGAGCUUGCUCCUCUGACGUUAGCAGCGGACGGGUGAGUAACACGUGGAUAACCUACCUAUAAGACUGGGAUAACUUUGGGAAACCGGAGCUAAUACCGGAUAAUAUAUUGAACCGCAUGGUUCAAUAGUGAAAGACGGUUUUGCUGUCACUUAUAGAUGGAUCCGCGCCGCAUUAGCUAGUUGGUAAGGUAACGGCUUACCAAGGCGACGAUGCGUAGCCGACCUGAGAGGGUGAUCGGCCACACUGGAACUGAGACACGGUCCAGACUCCUACGGGAGGCAGCAGUAGGGAAUCUUCCGCAAUGGGCGAAAGCCUGACGGAGCAACGCCGCGUGAGUGAUGAAGGUCUUCGGAUCGUAAAACUCUGUUAUUAGGGAAGAACAAAUGUGUAAGUAACUAUGCACGUCUUGACGGUAACUAAUCAGAAAGCCACGGCUAACUACGUG
rnacentral:rRNA from 1 species